rnacentral:rRNA from 1 species
UACAGAGGGGGCAAGCGUUAUUCGGAAUUAUUGGGCGUAAAGGGCGCGUAGGCGGCUUUGCAAGUGACGGGUGAAAUCCCUCGGCUUAACCGAGGAACUGCCAUUGAUACUAUUUGUCUUGAAUACUGUGGAGGUCAGCGGAAUAUGUCAUGUAGCGGUGAAAUGCUUAGAUAUGACAUAGAACACCAAUUGCGAAGGCAGCUGGCUACACAAAUAUUGACACUGAGGCACGAAAGCGUGGGGAUCAAACAGG